rnacentral:rRNA from 1 species
CCUACGGGUGGCAGCAGUGGGGAAUAUUGCACAAUGGGCGCAAGCCUGAUACAGCCAUGCCGCGUGUGUGAAGAAGGCCUUCGGGUUGUAAAGCACUUUCAGCGGGGAGGAAGGCGGUGAGGUUAAUAACCUCAUCGAUUGACGUUACCCGCAGAAGAAGCACCGGCUAACUCCGUGCCAGCAGCCGCGGUAAUACGGGGGGUGCAAGCGUUAAUCGGAAUUACUGGGCGUAAAGCGCACGCAGGCGGUCUGUCAAGUCGGAUGUGAAAUCCCCGGGCUCAACCUGGGAACUGCAUUCGAAACUGGCAGGCUAGAGUCUUGUAGAGGGGGGUAGAAUUCCAGGUGUAGCGGUGAAAUGCGUAGAGAUCUGGAGGAAUACCGGUGGCGAAGGCGGCCCCCUGGACAAAGACUGACGCUCAGGUGCGAAAGCGUGGGGAGCAAACAGGAUUAGAACCCGGGUAGUC